GGGAAAUGGGAAGAGGGGCCAGUCUCAGGCCCCGCCACAAACUGGUGCA
rfam:Gorilla gorilla gorilla genomic chromosome, chr4, whole genome shotgun sequence